UGGGGAAUAUUGGACAAUGGGGGCAACCCUGAUCCAGCGACGCCGCGUGUGUGAAGAAGGCCUGCGGGUUGUAAAGCACUUUUAGUGGGGAUGAAAAGCCUAGGGUUAAUACCUCUGGGUCUUGACCUAACCCACAGAAAAAGCACCGGCUAACUCUGUGCCAGCAGCCGCGGUAAUACAGAGGGUGCAAGCGUUAAUCGGAAUUACUGGGCGUAAAGCGUGCGUAGACGGUUACAUAAGUCAGAUGUGAAAGCCCCGGGCUCAACCUGGGAAUUGCAUUUGAGACUGUGUAGCUAGGGUGCGGAAGAGGGAAGCGGAAUUUCCGGUGUAGCGGUGAAAUGCGUAGAUAUCGGAAGGAACACCAGUGGCGAAAGCGGCUUCCUGGUCCAGCACCGACGUUCAGGCACGAAAGCGUGGGGAGCAAACAGG
rnacentral:rRNA from 1 species